UACGUAGGGUGCGAGCGUUUGUCCGGAAUUACUGGGCGUAAAGAGCUCGUAGGUGGUUUGUCGCGUUGUUCGUGAAAUCUCACGGCUUAACUGUGAGCGUGCGGGCGAUACGGGCAGACUGGAGUACUGCAGGGGAGACUGGAAUUCCUGGUGUAGCGGUGGAAUGCGCAGAUAUCAGGAGGAACACCGGUGGCGAAGGCGGGUCUCUGGGCAGUAACUGACGCUGAGGAGCGAAAGCGUGGGGAGCGAACAGG
rnacentral:rRNA from 1 species